rnacentral:rRNA from 1 species
ACUCCUACGGGAGGCAGCAGUGGGGAAUAUUGCACAAUGGGGGAAACCCUGAUGCAGCCAUGCCGCGUGUGUGAAGAAGGCCUUCGGUUGUAAAGCACUUUCAGUAGGGAGGAAGGUAGUGUAGUUAACACCUGCAUUAUUUGACGUUACCUACAGAAGAAGCACCGGCUAACUCCGUGCCAGCAGCCGCGGUAAUACGGAGGGUGCGAGCGUUAAUCGGAAUUACUGGGCGUAAAGUGCAUGCAGGCGGCCUGUUAAGUCAGAUGUGAAAGCCCGGGGCUUAACCUCGGAAUUGCAUUUGAAACUGGCAGGCUAGAGUCUGUAGAGGGGUUAGAAUUUCAGGUGUAGCGGUGAAAUGCGUAGAGAUCUGAAGGAAUACCAGUGGCGAAGGCGGCCCCUGGACAAAGACUGACGCUCAGAUGCGAAAGCGUGGGAGCAAACGAGGAUUAGAUACCCCGUGGUAGACUGUCA